rnacentral:snRNA from 1 species
AGCUUUGUGCAGUGGCAGUAUCAUAGGCCAAUGAGGUUUAUCUGAGGUGUGAUUAUUGCUAAUUGAAAAGGAUUCAUCCAACUUA